rnacentral:rRNA from 1 species
GAUGAACGCUGGCGGCGUGCUUAACACAUGCAAGUCGAACGGAGUUAUUUUGUUGGAAGGGAACAGUUUACUGGGACUGGAAGAGGGAAUAACUUAGUGGCGGACGGGUGAGUAACGCGUGGGUAACCUGCCGUAUACAGGGGGAUAACACUUAGAAAUAGGUGCUAAAACCGCAUAAGCGCCCAAUCCCGCAUGGGAUUGUGUGAAAAACUCCGGUGGUAUGGGAUGGGCCCGCGUCCGAUUAGCUAGUUGGCGGGGUAACGGCCCACCAAGGCGACGAUCAGUAGCCGGCCUGAGAGGGUGGACGGCCACAUUGGGACUGAGACACGGCCCAAACUCCUACGGGAGGCAGCAGUGGGGAAUAUUGGACAAUGGGGGAAACCCUGAUCCAGCGACGCCGCGUGAGUGAAGAAGUAUCUCGGUACGUAAAGCUCUAUCAGCAGGAAAGAAAAUGACGGUACCUGACUAAGAAGCCCCGGCUAACUACGUGCCAGCAGCCGCGGUAAUACGUAGGGGGCAAGCGUUAUCCGGAUUUACUGGGUGUAAAGAGAGCGUAGACGGCAGCGCAAGUCUGGAGUGAAAUGCCGGGGCCCAACCCCGGAACUGCUCUGGAAACUGUGAAGCUGGAGUACAGGAGGGGCAGGCGGAAUUCCUGGUGUAGCGGUGAAAUGCGUAGAUAUCAGGAGGAACACCGGCGGCGAAGGCGGCCUGCUGGACUGAAACUGACGUUGAGGCUCGAAAGCGUGGGGAGCAAACAGGAUUAGAUACCCUGGUAGUCCACGCAGUAAACGAUGAAUGCUGGCUGUCCGGGGGGAUUGACCCCUGGGUGGCGAAGCGAAAGCGAUAAGCAUUCCACCUGGGGAGUACGCCGGCAACGGUGAAACUCAAAGGAAUUGACGGGGGCCCGCACAAGCGGAGGAACAUGUGGUUUAAUUCGAUGAUACGCGAGGAACCUUACCCGGGCUCAAACGGGGAGUGACUCAGGCAGAGACGCCUGUUUCCCACGGGACACUCCCCGAGGUGCUGCAUGGUUGUCGUCAGCUCGUGCCGUGAGGUGUCGGCUUAAGUGCCAUAACGAGCGCAACCCCCGCGUGCAGUUGCUAACAGAUAACGCUGAGGACUCUGCACGGACUGCCGGCGCAAGCCGCGAGGAAGGCGGGGAUGACGUCAAAUCAGCACGGCCCUUACGUCCGGGGCGACACACGUGUUACAAUGGGUGGUACAGCGGGAAGCCAGGCGGCGACGCCGAGCGGAACCCGAAAUCCACUCUCAGUUCGGAUCGGAGUCUGCAACCCGACUCCGUGAAGCUGGAUUCGCUAGUAAUCGCGCAUCAGCCAUGGCGCGGUGAAUACGUUCCCGGGCCUUGUACACACCGCCCGUCAAGCCAUGGGAGCCGAGGGCGCUUGAAGUGCGUCGCCGCGAGGCGCGCCCUAGAGCGAAAUCGGUGACUGGGGCU